AUGUAGUGUAGCAUGCCCGUUUGGUGAAUUACUCUGAUGAAUAUGUUACAUUUAAUUACUUUUGGGUAACAGGGUGUUACACUUGA
rnacentral:pre_miRNA from 1 species